rnacentral:lncRNA from 1 species
CAUCUGUCACCCCCUGCACUACAUGGUCAUUAUGAACCCUCACCUCUGUGGACUGCUGGUUCUAGCAUCCUGGACCAUGAGUGCUCUGUAUUCCUUGCUACAAAUCUUAAUGGUAGUACGGCUGUCCUUCUGCACAGCCUUAGAAAUCCCCCACUUUUUCUGUGAACUUAAUCAGGUCAUCCAACUUGCUUGUUCUGAUAGCUUUCUUAAUCACAUGGUGAUAUAUUUUACAGUUGCGCUGCUGGGUGGAGGUCCCCUGACUGGGAUCCUUUACUCUUACUCUAAGAUAAUUUCUUCCAUACAUGCAAUCUCAUCAGCUCAGGGGAAGUACAAGGCAUUUUC